UCACCGGCGUGGCAUUUAUAUCGCAAUCACUUGAAAGGUCAACCUCGACGUUGGAACUUAUCACGAAAACAGUUGGUAAAAUCUUAGAGCAAACCUACAUCUUCUGACGUCAUGGGUGACGCAGUACACUUUACCAAGAACAAAUCAUUGAUUAUAAAGGCUGUAGAUAGAUACAAGGAGCUCAGUAAAUCGGACGCGUAUCAACAGAUGUUCCAUGAGAAAGCUGACCCUACCAAACCGGAUGUCGUCAAGGCAAUGGCGGAUAUUCAUAUUCAUUUCACUAAGAAGGCACUAGAGGAUGUUGGGGUGGAGUUGAGUCAAAUUCCCGAUGAUGCGAUGGUAGAUCAUAUUGCAGUCAUGAAUUUCGCAAAUGACCCAGAGGUUAUUGGCAAGCUUAAUGGUAUGAUCGAAGCCCCUGAAAGAUUGAUGCCACAUCUCAAACCCAGAGUCGCACUCGGGGAUAAAGUACCCGAAGAUGUGGAGGUAGUUUCCAUAGAAACAGGCAAACGUAUCCCGCUACUUGAACUACGUAUUAACAAAGAGCGACCACUUUUAAUUAUUGCGUCAUCACUGAGCUGACCCCCCUUAUCGGGCAUUGUACAUGGUGGUGCACUACACGCCCUCUACAUGGAUUAUAAAGAUAAAGCGGAGAUUAUUUUGGUUUAUAUCUUGGAAGCACACUCAACUGAGGGCUGGAAGAUGGGACCAAGAUUUAGUAAGUCGAAACAACCAACCACAAUUGAAGAAAGAAUAGACGGGGCCAGACAAUUGUUGGAUAUUAUCCCUGACACAGUGACCUCUGACCCCUACGAUGCAAGUAAAGUUCGUGUUGUUGUUGACGACAUGGACAACAAAUUUGAUGAUGCGUUCUGGUGUUGGCCAGAUAGAUCUUUAGUAAUUCACGACGAUCGCUAUGUCUUCGCUGGGCGUAAUAUUAUCCAACAAGUGAGGUCACCUGAUAAACUACUGACACACGAUCUUCGUGAAUAUAUGGAAUCACAAAACAAAUAAACAUAAUACACCAUUCCUUCAAGUCGCGCCCUCUAGUGCCAAAAGCGCGUGUAUGACGUCCGUGUGUAUAAGGGAUGCCAUUAAAAACGUCGAUAUUGUUUUGAUCUGUGAUACUUCGUCAAUAAGUUUGUUUAGAGAUUUACUGUAAGUCGAGCGAUGACGCAACUUAAGUAUUGUAAACUACUUUAUUUUUGAACAUAUAGCUUUUUUCUUCUGUUAAGUUCAACCCAUCACGAAUCAGUGAAAACUAAACAUACAUGACACCAAAACAAUUCUUUCGGUGAAAAUUAAUUCAGGCUAUAAUAAAAUAUUUUACAGUACUUGAACGGCACUGCGAUUACACUAAUCAACUACGCAAUUCAGCCCCGCCAAUAAGAAACGCUUCGACGGAGGGCACGACUUAUUAAAAAUGUGUAGAUACGAUAUGUCGUGUAAUUAAUCUAACCAAUCAGCGAUUGUCGCUAGUAUAAACACUAAAAACGCUUUCCAUACUAUGAGUUUAUAUUACAUAUUCGUAGAAAUAUAAUGUAAACACUUAAUAAUCAUUAUAAUAUAUCGAGUGUUUAAUUCAUAUAUCAUUAUAUAAUCAAUAUGUCGACCAACAGUAAAUUAACGUGAUAUUUGAAUACUGUGUCACGUGGUAAUGUACGUCAGUAACACAAUACUAAUAACACUAUUGUGUACAACCAUACAUGCCACUAAUUUGUACCUACAUACGUCUAUGCAGUAUAUUCAUUGAUGUUGGAAUAAUGACGAUUAUUAAGAAAAAAGGCAUUGACUUCUUGUAAUCCGAUAACGAAUCUAAUACUUUGAGGGACACGUCUUUGAAAGAUAUGUUAAACUACUGUGGACGUGUAUAGGUCCUGGACUUUGAUAUAUGGAUUAUAUAUUGAAUUGUUAAAAUUGGAUGUUUCAACAAUAAAAUGAAUUUAUUUCUGAAUUUUAGCUACAAAAUAA
rnacentral:misc_RNA from 1 species